AUUGAACGCUGGCGGCAUGCUUUACACAUGCAAGUCGGACGAGUGGCGAACGGGUGAGUAAUAUCUUGGAAAGUACCCAGUAAUGGGGGAUAACAAAUGGAAAGGUUGGCUAAUACCGCAUAUACUCCGACAGGCCAAUAUCUGAUUAGCUAGUUGGUGGGGUAAAGGCCGACCAGGGCGACGAUCAGUAGCGGGUCUGAGAGGAUGAUCCGCCACACUGGAACUGAGACACGGCCCAGACUCCUACGGUAGGCAGCAGUGGGGAAUUUUGGACAAUGGGCGCAAGCCUGAUCCAGCCAUGCCGCGUGUCUGAAGAAGGCCUUCGGGUUGUAAAGGACUUUUGUCAGGGAAGCGGUACCUAAAGAAUAAGCACCGGCUAACUACGUGCCAGCAGCCGCGGUAAUAC
rnacentral:rRNA from 1 species